GUCCUUAGUUACCAGCACGUUAUGGUGGGCACUCUAAGGAGACUGCCGGUGGACAACCGGAGGAAGGUGGGGAUGACGUCAAGUCAUCAUGGCCCUUACGGCCUGGGCUACACACGUGCUACAAUGGUCGGUACAAAGGGUUGCCAAGCCGCGAGGUGGAGCUAAUACCCAUAAAACCGAUCGUAGUCCGGAUCGCAGUCUGCAACUCGACUGCGUGAAGUCGGAAUCGCUAGUAAUCGUGAAUCAGAAUGUCACGGUGAAUACGUUCCCGGGCCUU
rnacentral:rRNA from 1 species